rnacentral:rRNA from 1 species
GUGGGGAAUUUUGGACAAUGGGCGCAAGCCUGAUCCAGCAAUGCCGCGUGCAGGAAGAAGGCCUUCGGGUUGUAAACUGCUUUUGUCAGGGAAGAAAUCUUCUGGGCUAAUACCCCGGGAGGAUGACGGUACCUGAAGAAUAAGCACCGGCUAACUACGUGCCAGCAGCCGCGGUAAUACGUAGGGUGCGAGCGUUAAUCGGAAUUACUGGGCGUAAAGCGUGCGCAGGCGGCUUUGCAAGACAGAUGUGAAAUCCCCGGGCUCAACCUGGGAACUGCAUUUGUGACUGCAAGGAUAGAGUACGGCAGAGGGGGAUGGAAUUCCGCGUGUAGCAGUGAAAUGCGUAGAUAUGCGGAGGAACACCAAUGGCGAAGGCAAUCCCCUGGGCCUGUACUGACGCUCAUGCACGAAAGCGUGGGGAGCAAACAGGAUUAGAAACCCUGGUAGUCC